UACGUAGGGUGCAAGCGUUGUCCGGAUUUAUUGGGCGUAAAGAGCGUGUAGGCGGCCUGACAGGUCUGCUGUGAAAACUCGAGGCUCAACCUCGAGAUGUCGGCGGAAACCGUCUGGCUAGAGUCCGGAAGAGGAGAGUGGAAUUCCUGGUGUAGCGGUGAAAUGCGCAGAUAUCAGGAAGAACACCUAUGGCGAAGGCAGCUCUCUGGGACGGUACUGACGCUGAGACGCGAAAGCGUGGGGGGCGAACAGG
rnacentral:rRNA from 1 species